rnacentral:rRNA from 1 species
CGAGCGGCGGACGGGUGAGUAAUGCUUGGGAACAUGCCUUGAGGUGGGGGACAACAGUUGGAAACGACUGCUAAUACCGCAUAAUGUCUACGGACCAAAGGGGGCUUCGGCUCUCGCCUUUAGAUUGGCCCAAGUGGGAUUAGCUAGUUGGUGAGGUAAUGGCUCACCAAGGCGACGAUCCCUAGCUGGUUUGAGAGGAUGAUCAGCCACACUGGGACUGAGACACGGCCCAGACUCCUACGGGAGGCAGCAGUGGGGAAUAUUGCACAAUGGGCGCAAGCCUGAUGCAGCCAUGCCGCGUGUGUGAAGAAGGCCUUCGGGUUGUAAAGCACUUUCAGUCAGGAGGAAAGGUUAACGGUUAAUACCCGUUAGCUGUGACGUUACUGACAGAAGAAGCACCGGCUAACUCCGUGCCAGCAGCCGCGGUAAUACGGAGGGUGCGAGCGUUAAUCGGAAUUACUGGGCGUAAAGCGUACGCAGGCGGUUUGUUAAGCGAGAUGUGAAAGCCCCGGGCUCAACCUGGGAACUGCAUUUCGAACUGGCAAACUAGAGUGUGAUAGAGGGUGGUAGAAUUUCAGGUGUAGCGGUGAAAUGCGUAGAGAUCUGAAGGAAUACCGAUGGCGAAGGCAGCCACCUGGGUCAACACUGACGCUCAUGUACGAAAGCGUGGGGAGCAAACGGGAUUAGAUACCCCGGUAGUCCACGCCGUAAACGAUGUCUACUAGAAGCUCGGAGCCUCGGUUCUGUUUUUCAAAGCUAACGCAUUAAGUAGACCGCCUGGGGAGUACGGCCGCAAGGUUAAAACUCAAAUGAAUUGACGGGGGCCCGCACAAGCGGUGGAGCAUGUGGUUUAUUUCGAUGCAACGCGAAGAACCCUUACCUACACUUGACAUACAGAGAACUUACCAGAGAUGGUUUUGGUGCCUUCGGGAACUCUGAUACAGUGCUGCAUGG